rnacentral:tRNA from 1 species
CACCGGGCGUCGACGGCGGCGGUCCGCGUGGUGCGGUCCGCCCGCGCGGCGCGCGCCGACGACCCGGCGUUCCGCCUCGCCGACCUGGUGGCC